UAGCGAAGGGGGCUAGCGUUGCUCGGAAUUACUGGGCGUAAAGGGAGCGUAGGCGGGUUAUCAAGUUGGAGGUGAAAGCCCAGGGCUCAACCUUGGAAUUGCCUUCAAAACUGAUAGCCUAGAGUAUGAUAGAGGUAUGUGGAACUCCGAGUGUAGAGGUGAAAUUCGUAGAUAUUCGGAAGAACACCAGUGGCGAAGGCGACAUACUGGGUCAUGACUGACGCUGAGGCUCGAAAGCGUGGGGAGCAAACAGG
rnacentral:rRNA from 1 species